CCCAAGGUAGCUCAGUUGGUAGAGCAGCAUGCCCUGAAAUAGUGGGUAGCGGUCGAUGGUUCGAGUCCAUCCCGAGGGG
rnacentral:tRNA from 2 species